UACGGAGGGUGCAAGCGUUAUCCGGAUUCACUGGGUUUAAAGGGUGCGUAGGUGGGCAGGUAAGUCAGUGGUGAAAUCUCUGGGCUUAACCCAGAAACUGCCGUUGAUACUAUCUGUCUUGAAUAUAGUGGAGGUGAGCGGAAUAUGUCAUGUAGCGGUGAAAUGCUUAGAUAUGACAUAGAACACCAAUUGCGCAGGCAGCUUACUACACAGUAAUUGACACUGAGGCACGAAAGCGUGGGGAUCAAACAGG
rnacentral:rRNA from 1 species